rnacentral:rRNA from 1 species
AGCGAACGCUGGCGGCAGGCCUAACACAUGCAAGUCGAACGAACUCUCCGUAGUUAGUGGCGGAUGGGUGAGUAACACGGGGGAACGUGCCUUUUGGUUCGGAAUUACUCAGGGAAAUUUGUGCUAAUACCGGAUGUGCCCCUCGGGGGAAAGAUAUAUCGCGAUUGGUGGGGCCCGAGUCUGAUUAGCUAGUGGGUGAGGUAACAGCUCACCACGGCGUGGAUCAGUAGCUGGGUUGAGAGGCUGACCAGCGACACUGGGACUGGGCCACGGCCCAGACUCCUGGGAGAGGGGGGAGAGCGUGAUCCAGCGCAAUGGGCGGGAUGCUGAAGCAGCUCGGGCGGGAGAAUGAUGUUGGUGUUAGAAAAGAAAAACUCUUUCAUCGGGGACGGUACUGACGGUACCCAGAGAAGAAGCCCCGGCUAACUUCGUG